UGUAAUAUGUCAUAGGAAGGCGGCAUGAUCAGAUGGACUGCUUUCCCAUCAGCCCCAACUUGUGCUGUCAGGUCGAGCUCAAGGCAGCUCAGCGUUGCCGCAAUUGUUUCGAUUUGAACGUCGAAGCGCUCGCACUGUUCAUCAGUCUAUCUCACAGUGUGAUGCGUACCAGGUCAUAAAGUCCUUCAAAUCUAUGCGAGGACUAGUGAGAAUGGCUUCUCUUGGCACUUGGCAUGCUCAUAUCUACGACACUCCACCAAAACAGCCGACCCCGUAUUUUGUAGCCACUAUUCUCGGCCUAGACGCUACUCACAUGCCAGUAUUUACAACAAGAAGUUCUAAAUCCAAGACGGCGCUGGCCGAGUCCAACGGGCUAGACUCGAAUUUACCGAAUAACGAAACCAAAGAGACCACAAGUCGGGUUAAAAAAUCAGAGGCUCAAUCACAGCUCUCUGAUAGCGAUAAAGACACCUCGAUAAAGACUCAAGGCUCUCACUCGAAGAACCAGAAACGCGUUGUCAAGGGUAAAAUAGAUAAAGAUAACAGUAAAACUAGUAAGAAGAAAAAGAAAGCUCGGACGACUUUCACUGGCCGGCAGAUAUUCGAACUAGAGAAACAAUUCGACGCGAAAAAGUACUUGACGGCGAACGAACGCAGCGAUAUGGCUGCACUGUUGAACGUUACGGAAACUCAGGUGAAAAUUUGGUUUCAGAAUAGAAGGACUAAAUGGAAAAAGCAAGAGAAANUGGUGGAGAAUGACUCAAAUGUGUCCACGGGAAACAACAUUGAACUGUCACACGAGUCCAUGGAUGAAAGCGGCUCAGACAGUAGAGCGAAUUCUCCCGACGGUCAAAAUCCUUCCAACGAAAAGAAUAUGGAAGAGGAAGAAGAUGUUUCUUCGGAGUAGAGGAAAAUCGUGGUAACUUGGGUAUCAGUAAAACUGUUAGUUCAGCUGGUAUGAAGCAGACGUUAAAAGCCCCCGAGUAUUGGUUGGUGUACUUGGAAAGCAAUUACUUCCAUCCAUUAACAAAGUAUAUAAACAGACAAUGCCAAAGCAAAUAAAGACUAGUGAGUCUGCAAUCAAUCUGCAAACCAAGAACUGAUGUGAAGUCGUUUGCUCUUGAUUCAAGAUUGGCUGUUGGUUUUCGUUAUCAGAAAACUCGUACACCAAACAAAACAAGCCCUUUUUCUUUUGUAGUA
rnacentral:misc_RNA from 1 species